rnacentral:rRNA from 1 species
AGAGUGAACGCUGGCGGCAGGCCUAACACAUGCAAGUCGAACGGCAGCACAGUAAGAGCUUGCUCUUAUGGGUGGCGAGUGGCGGACGGGUGAGGAAUACAUCGGAAUCUGCCUAUUUGUGGGGGAUAACGUAGGGAAACUUACGCUAAUACCGCAUACGACCUACGGGUGAAAGCGGAGGACCUUCGGGCUUCGCGCAGAUAGAUGAGCCGAUGUCGGAUUAGCUAGUUGGUGGGGUAAAGCCCACCAAGGCGACGAUCCGUAGCUGGUCUGAGAGGAUGAUCAGCCACACUGGAACUGAGACACGGUCCAGACUCCGUACGGGA